GAUGAACGCUGGCGGCGUGCCUAAUACAUGCAAGUCGAGCGAACAGACGAGGAGCUUGCUCCACUGACGUUAGCGGCGGAAGGGUGAGUAACACGUGGAUAACCUACCUAUAAGACUGGGAUAACUUCGGGAAACCGGAGCUAAUACCGGAUAAUAUAUUGAACCGCAUGGUUCAAUAGUGAAAGACGGUUUUGCUGUCACUUAUAGAUGGAUCCGCGCCGCAUUAGCUAGUUGGUAAGGUAACGGCUUACCAAGGCAACGAUGCGUAGCCGACCUGAGAGGGUGAUCGGCCACACUGGAACUGAGACACGGUCCAGACUCCUACGGGAGGCAGCAGUAGGGAAUCUUCCGCAAUGGGCGAAAGCCUGACGGAGCCACGCCGCGUGAGUGAUGAAGGUCUUCGGAUUGUAAAACUCUGUUAUUAGGGAAGAACAAAUGUGUAAGUAACUAUGCACGUCUUGACGGUACCUAAUCAGAAAGCCACGGCUAACUACGUG
rnacentral:rRNA from 1 species